AGAAUCAACGCUGGCGGCGUGCCUAACACAUGCAAGUCGAACGAGAAAGGGACUUCGGUCCUGAGUAUAGUGGCGCACGGGUGAGUAACACGUGAAUAAUCUACCUCCGAGUGAGGAAUAACCAAGAGAAAUCUUGGCUAAUACCGCAUAACACUUACGAGUCAAAGCAGCAAUGCGCUUGGAGAGGAGUUCGCGGCAGAUUAGUUAGUUGGCGGGGUAAUGGCCCACCAAGACGAUGAUCGGUA
rnacentral:rRNA from 1 species